GAAGGCACGUUUCCCGACGUUAAAAUGUACAUCCCUUUCUGCAUCAGCGACUGCGCAGUAUUAGAGCAUGCCUUGGUUUAGCACACUGUCAGUCUGCUGAGAGAGUCAGAGUAUCGCAGUCACCUCGUUUAUCCCAGAGCACCAAAGCACAGCGCUGUGCGCGUGAAACCUAACAGCUGUAACAGAACAGGCUCCUACUGACCGAACCUGUUGACAGGUGUUGAAACUGCAAUGAAUUUUUCUAGAGGAUGGACCUUGCCAAAUGCCACCUGGAGAAACGAAGCCCUGUCACAAGGGUAAACAACAGUCCAGACUGACAAGUCCUAGAGAAACAACACACGCAGUAAUAACCAAAUCUCAAAGAAGGCUUGCACUUGAUACGUUUCAGACUGAGUAAUCUUUAACAAGGCCAAGCUCCACGGAGAGGGUCCGUUCUGACCCCAGAGCAGCACAUGCAGUCUGUGGCUUUGGCACAGCAGAUACAACUGCCACCUUUGUACGGUGCCAUUCCUACCACACAGUGUUAAAGGCAGCUGCACAACACAGACAGUAGGAUAGCGUUCUAAUUCAUAAUAAACUUCCUCAGAAGAAAAACAAGUUUUCAGGAGUAUUCUGGGAACAGCAGGAUUAAUGCUUUGCCUGAAAUGUGUAGGCUGCAGCAGUGGUUGACAGGAAAAAGGAAGUUCUGUGCCUUUGAUAACCGCUGAUGGACAGUUAAUUUCUCAGGCUAAUGGAAGCGGUAUAGCUGACCUGGGCAAAAGACUUAGAGCUAAGGAGCCAGAUAACAGUGUUUGCAGAGGGAGUAGUUUUCUUGGGGGGUGGCCAGUUCCCCCCUAGGGACAGGAUCCCAUAAAGGGCGAGAGGAAGGUGUCCAGUGGAAACUGAGGCUUUCAACAGCUGACCAUUGCUGGGAACUCAUAAAAGAAAACCAAGGCCUCCAAAGAUCUGAACACAGUGAUAUUCAGCAAAAUGUCACGCAAGAGAAUCUGACAAACCCAAUGACACACCAGAGGAUCAUUCGGCAGUUGUGUCAGAUGAUCUUUGAAGCCCCCAUGCUGAAGUCUGCAAUGUGUGCAUAUUACUUCUUCCAUGGACUAAUGAUCUCCUACUACCAGAGCUGUGGAGUGUGACAAUGGUGUUUGUGUCCAGUCUAUCAAACGCCAUUAUCACACUAAAUAGCUACUGAUAGACAAGACAUCAAUUCAGAAAAGUACGUGAACUGCAGCAAUAUGUUGUCCCACUGUGCUGAGGAAUAAAAUAACCUUUUAUUCAUGUAUGUCAGGAUCACUAUGCUCUUUCUUUUAUAAGCAAACCCACCAUAAUAUGUGGGAAAUACAUACUCUGCUACGUGCAUUCCAGAUUCCCAUUGUAAAGCACGCAAGUGACCCAGGAGGUGGAGGAGAGGUGGGAGUGCAACAGGGGACAUGUGAGCACAGAGACAAAGUGGCAUGGGAAGCCAAGACCUUGAGCAUGGUGCCAGCGAUGCAGCCAGUCAUUCACCUGCUCAAUUCGUCUCCUUCUUCUUGAACACCCUUCUCCCACCGGGAGGAUAGAGGAGAACACCACCUGCGCUCCCAAUCCCUUUAACAUAAUUCCAACGGACAUAAAGUGUCUUUUGAGAGACUUGUGCCAGAUGCUUCUCCACUGCUGUCCCUCUUCCCUGACAUCAUCCUUCUGCUAUAUAUUGCACCCGUUGGCCCCCUCUUCCCUGGUCUGGUUUCGCUUUCAGGAACAAUAAAUGUUAAUCUUGACUACCAGAUAAAGCAUGAAUGGAUGGACAGAAAUACCCUGAUGUUAUUCCUCCUUUCUCAUGUUUCCCACAAUACACAGGAAGCUCAUUCAAACACAUUUCUGUAGCAGCAGUACCAGCCUUUCGGUGUGUGUCACGAAGGCUUUCUGCUGGGUCCUGAUGAUGAGUCCGUCCCUGUUAUGUCACUUGAUAUGGACCUGUCACAUCACCAAACUGCAGCUGCCAUGUACAUGGCUCAAAUCUAGCCACAGCAAACAAGCAGCUCUCAUCACCUGAUCCCAUGUGUCACAAGAGCAAAUGCAUAUCUACUGUGUGUUUGGGGCAACAUGAGCAUGGCUUAUGGCAUAAGUGAGCUUUUAGUUGUAUAAAAAGAAAAAUGCUGCAGGUCCUUUGUGAAAAGGGUAGAAAGAGAAAGGCGAGGGCUGGGCUGCCCCAUAGCAUAAGGCUAGGACCUAUAUUUUGUCUGAAAGGAGCAGGUGAUGAAUUGGAAUGACUGAUGUAGUGGGCCAGAUCCAAAACAUCUGGCUCAGACUGGGCAUCUAUAAGACCACUAGGAGUUAACACUAACAAGGGACAUUGUCCUGCCACCGCUGCAAAAGAAUCAACCUCAGUCAUCCAUAAACACAGCCAGAAUCCAGCAACAGAAAGGCUCCCAAAGCCAGUAUUCUCCUGCUGUCCAAGACUCAGUAAAUCACAGUAACUUCACAAUACUCACAAUACACCCACAAUAUUUUAUGGCAGACUCACAGUGAUGUCAGCAAAGCUGCAGAUAAUUACGGCUUAUUCUUCAAAAGGUCUUUGGUGAGAACGAGCUUCUAGCUGAGGGAAUCUUUGUGCAGGUAAGUUGGGGGCUGGGCUGGGCAAGACAGCCUAAACUCCUUUCUCUUUUCUCUGGCUUUGCAGGAGGAAAGCAGAAGUGACCUUGUCUGCAAGGCCCUUUGUGUAAUGGUUUAGCAGCAGCUGCUUUUCUUCUCAAACUUUGAUUGAGAGAGAAAUGAUGAGCCUUCCCUCCCUUACCACACCCACAGUGCUUUCUAGGGAGCCUGUACCAGUCCCACUUGCCCUUCUCCUGAUUACUUGCCCUGCGAUUUUUCGUAUUUGAAGAACAUCUUAUGAUGUUUCUCUCCUCCCACUCAGUAAGCCUCAUGUGCUGCUUGCCUAAGCACAAUAUCCCUAUCAUAUCAACAGAAAAAGCCGGAGAUUAGGUCUGUUAUUUUGGACUUGCCCUACAAUUCGCAAUGUCAUCACAGAUUAUUCCAUGUCAUUCAUUCUGUUAGAGGUGCGAAACAUGAACCACCACUGCUGGUACUCCACUGGUGGAAUGGCAGUACAAGCCCCCCGGAUUCUACUUGUAAUGUUAUUGAAGGAAACCCAUGUAAAAUAUUCAGUGAAACAUCCAGGAGGGCAAACAGUUCCGAACCUUCCCCUGGUACUCUGUGGCAGGACAGCAGCGUAGAUUAAUUCUCUCUCCCUAUUACUUUCUUACCGGUAUUCUCUUAAAACUCAAAAAGUUAUUCACUGCGGCUUGUAGAGCAACAUGAUCUUUACAACACCCACACAAGUAUUAGAUAGACUGAAGUUUCCUGAAGAGAAAAAAAAGAAAUUAAGGUGUAAUGGGGCUGCAUCCCUGCUGUUCACUGUUAGGUUAUGUGAGGUUAAGCUGCGGGAGUUUUACUGAGAAGUUCCUCCAAUAAGAACUGGAUACAAAUUUCUCUUGCUGUGUGGUAUAGGGAAUGGAUUGGGAAACAUACUGCCUGUUUUCUAACGGGGUCCUCCAUCUUACAUCUCCCUGAAGUGGAUAAAUACUCAAGGCAUUCAAACUACAUCAGCUGCCUUCUGAAGUUGCAUCCUCUGGGGCCAAGCAAUUUUUCAGUUUCAGAGAAAAUAAUUCUGCACUCCAGAUAUAUCUCCCCAGAUUUCAGGGCCAGGCUGACUGUUUUCUACACCCGCUGACUUUCUCUUUGUGGGUGAGAUUGUUAUUUAAGAUCUAAAGCUGGAAUGAGAGUCCGCAGCUGAUUCCCAGCAACUGUGCACUGGCCUUCAGAAGUGCAAGCUGUCUUCCUGAAUCUGUGGAGGGCUGAUGUGCUCUGAUUCAUUCAUUGCUACCACUGAACUCUUCUGAACAUUCAGGUGGCAUUUUCAAACGUACUCAAGGUUCUAUUUUGAAAGGGACUGAGGAGGCCAGUUCCACUGAGCAAUAAAGUUCUCAGGGACACAGACACUUUUUGGAAAAAAGACCAACUUAAGAGUUAUGUGCCCAGUAUUUUGUGGACAGGAACCUGUACACUGAAAUCCCUUAGAUGUUUUUGAAGAACAUUACCACUGGAGCUCACAUGUUUUUUAAAGCACUUAAAAACUGCAAAAGAGCAGGUAGAAUUAUCAGUUUAUCUACAGGGACACAUACAUCUAAAAACUCAAUGCCUGUAGGCCAUUCAUGUGAUUAAUUACUUUUGAACAACAAGAAACAUCCAGUAGAAGCUUUAUUGACUCCAUUCUUGAGUGUUUUAUCAUUGUUAGUCAGUGUAAUAGAAUUAAAAUCACAAAGCAUUAAUGCUUCAGCCUAAACUACAGUGGUGUCCUGUGAAAAGCAUAACAUUUUAAAAUUGCUAUCAGGAUGCAGUGCAAUUCAUUCAUUCUGUGUGUGCUUAAGAAUAUUUAUUAAUAUAAUAAUGCAACUGCUAGCAGGAAGAAUUAGCCUCUAAGUGAUCCUUUAACAAAUGGAUUCCAGUUUCUGCUUUGCUGAUGUCUCUGCUGGGAUUAGAGUACGUAUUUAUUUGACUUGCUCACAAAACCCAUGCUUUGGUUGCCUUAUGUAAAUUAAGGCAAAAAGCAAACUUUGGCUCAGAUUAAAACAGUCUGUAAAACAGGUAGCUGUUUCUCCCACUCAUCUCAGUGGGCCAUUAAAUCUAGAGCCCAACAAGAAUACUGUUUACUCUACUGAUAAUUAUUAUUUCACUCCUUACAAUUUGGCAGACAUCCACCUGAUGCUUGCUGGUAACACAGGUACACCAGGGUAAAACCACAGUUCUACUAGGUGAAUCUUUGUUCUACCAAUGAAGUCAGCCAACAUAAAUAGGACAAAACUUCCUUUUCCCAGUCUGAUUUCAUGGUCUAGACCUAUGUAUGAAGUUCAGUUUACAUGUACUCAGCUUUCAUUCUUUUUCAGAUAGCCAGGAAAUACUUCCUGAUACAGGGUACACAUGUAUUUUCUGUAACAGCAAGACUAAGGUGGGUAGAGUGGUGAGUUAUCGGUCUACAAAGAACAGCAAUUAUUAGCACAGUCUUUUUUUUUUUAAAUCUGACAUGAAAUUUGAGACAUGGGCAGACAGUCUGUUAAUCAUAACUUCCCGUCAGUCUUUGAAGCGCACACUGGAGCUCUCUCUCCAUCACUGUCAGACUAUCUAUAUUUUAAACUCUUUAUACCGUGACCCAGAAAUGUCAGUAAAGAAUCGAGGAUGUUUUUGAGAGGGGCCUGCACGGACAAGGUAUUCCCACCACAGUGUUCCUACCUGCCAAACAAGACAGAAAGGAAGGCAGAACAGACAGCUCAGCAGGUGUGAAAGAGGGUGGGGCAACAAGGAAACAAAUAAAAGGCAAAGACUCAAUUCUCUACUUCCCUUAGAUAUGCCAAAGAGCAAUCAUUUGAGUACCAUGACAGAGCAAGGUUCUAAAACUUGUCAAGAUGUCUUUAACCUGAGGUGAUCAGUCAAGCAUUUUCUAUUUUAGGUAGCUAUUAAUGCAUAAUUAUUUCAAUGUAAUUGCACAUGUAGCUGAACUCAGGGGCAAUGACAGAAUUUUAACUGGAUCAUGUGACAUUAUUUUAACUGAAGCUUUUGUUCUGUUACAGAAAAAUGACUGCUUUAAACCAGUGUACUGCAGGUUUUCCUAUUAUCAUCAGUUAGACUUUCCCCUGACAGAAAUUCAGGAACUGUGACUCACAGAAUGUUGUAAUACAUCAGCAAUGUAGUAUGUCUAUUAACAAACAAAACGUGUUCAAUAAACUCCUGAGCAGUGGAAAAGCAUCUAUUUUAGCUGGGUGUAUGUCUAUUUAAUCCAAAUAUGACGGCUUGUUAUUAUAUAAUGCUCCAUGUACACAUUUACUCUGUGAGAUCAACAGUAAGAAAAUGAAAAUUAGCUUUUGAGUACAGCUGUCAAGUCUAGUUGAAAGUGUCAUGGUUUUAGCUGGGAUAAGGUUAAUUUUCUUCAUUCUAGCUGGUAUAGUGCUAUAUCUAUAUCUAUAUCUAUAUCUAUAGUAACUCUAUCCCAGCUAAAACCAUGACAGAAAGAUAAAUUUAAAACAUCAAAUCCAUCAAAAGAGAAAUAUAACCAGAAUGUGGCCUGAGUCCUUAAUGCUCCAUCAGUGGGCUUGGAGGACAGUUCCCCACAGAAGAAAACAUUCUAAAAGGUUCACUCAUACUCACUGCCAGGGGCAAGAAUGUCAUCAUCUUUCCUUAGAAGGCAACACAGAGCACAGAGCCUUCCAUUGUAUCAUGUUCCAUAUCAUGGACAUGUGGAGCACAAACAUCCUUGUUCAGAUCUAUGGUUUCUGCUGUGCUUAUUUUUGCCAACAGGUGUAAACAACACCUUCUCCAAGUUGUUGACUAAUGGACAAGGAAGAAAGUUAUGACUCAGUCAGCAAACAACUGCAGGGAUAGAACUAUGGUCACGGAUGUGUGCUCUGAGAAUCCAUCUAAGCUUAGACACUUGCAGGAUUGAGACCUCCACCUUUCCAGACAAGGAUAAUACUCAUUGUCUCUGUGCCAUCAUCAGUAUUGAACACACCAGAUGACCUGCACUUUG